rnacentral:rRNA from 1 species
ACACAUGCUCCUAACAGCUAGCCCAACAACCCAAAAACAACAAACAACAUUAAUAACCCCAAAAUCACAAACAGAACAAAACAAACCAUUUUUCCUCCUUAGUAUGGGCGACAGAACAGGAUUUAUGAGCGCUAUAGAGAAAGUACCGCAAGGGAAUGCUGAAAGAGAAAUGAAAAAACCCAGUAAAGAGCAAAGAAGUAGAGACACCCCCUCGUACCUUUUGCAUCAUGAACUAGUUAGUAACCCUCGAGCAAAACGAAUUUUAGUCCGAGCCCCCGAAACUUGGUGAGCUACUCCAGGACAGCCUAUAAUAGGGCCAACCCGUCUCUGUGGCAAAAGAGUGGGAAGAGCCUAGAGUAGAGGUGACAGACCUACCGAGCCAAGUUAUAGCUGGUUGCCUACAAAAUGAAUAGAAGUUCAGCCUCUGGAUUUCUUUAACCAACCCUGGUUAAUACCAAACAACGAUGAAAAGUAAACCCAGAGAGUUAUUCAGAGGGGGAACAGCCCCUCUGAACAGAGAUACAACUUUAAUAGAAGGCUAAAGAUCAAAAGACUCAAAAGCACGUACCUUAGUGGGCCUAAAAGCAGCCACCUACACAGAAAGCGUUAAAGCUCAAGUACCAUGCCCCUUAUAAUAAAGACAUUCAAAUCUUAAGCCCCUGUCACAUUAGUAGGCCCUUCCAUGCAAACAUGGAAAAGACACUGCUAGCAUGAGUAAUAAGAGGAACAAGCUCCUCUCCUGGCACCUGUUUAUAUCAGAACGAACUCGCACUGAAAAUUAACGCCCCCAAUUAAAGAGGGAACUGAGAAACAUCAAAGUAACCUAGAAGUCCUCUCAGAACAAAAGCGUUACCCCCACACAGGAGUGCCCUAUAGGAAAGACUAAAAGAAAAAGAAGGAACUCGGCAAACACUGGCCUCACCUGUUUACCAAAAACAUCGCCUCUUGCACCCUAAACAUAUAAGAGGUCCCGCCUGCCCUGUGACUUGUUAGUUUAACGGCCGCGGUAUUUUGACCGUGCGAAGGUAGCGUAAUCACUUGUCUUUUAAAUGGAGACCUGUAUGAAUGGCAUAACGAGGGCUAAGCUGUCUCCUUUUUCCAGUCAAUGAAAUUAAUCUUCCCGUGCAGAAGCGGGAAUAAGCACAUAAGACGAGAAGACCCUAUGGAGCUUUAGACAAAAGGCAGAUAACAUGAAAUUAACUGGAGUAAACAGAACAAACAAACUACCCCUGCCCUCUUGUCUUUGGUUGGGGCGACCGUGGGGAAACAAACAUCCCCCAUGUGGAAUGGGAACUAUUCCUCAAGACUAGAGCUACAGCUCUAACAAGCAGAACUUCUGACCAGAAAGACCCGGCAUAGCCGAUCAACGGACUGAGUUACCCUAGGGAUAACAGCGCAAUCCCCUUUUAGAGCCCAUAUCGACAAGGGGGUUUACGACCUCGAUGUUGGAUCAGGACAUCCUAAUGGUGCAGCCGCUAUUAAGGGUUC